UUAAAAAAAAAAAAAAAAAUUUUGCAUGAGUCGUUGUCUUGUAACAUCACAAAUCAAUUUAUCAGUUGGGCAUGCAAUGGGUCAACUAGCAGGCCUUGAUGUUGAAAUCCAUUAGAACACAAAUACACCUACAUUUUUUUUUAGAAUAUAAUAUUUAUAUUAAGUUGAUGUUUGUUAUACAUCAGAUCUGGUAAAGAUUUUGACAUCAC
rnacentral:misc_RNA from 1 species